GAUAGCCGAAGAUAACUCCAGGAUUGAGCGUCGGAUUUGUGAUCACCCGAACAUCGCCGCCACCUGGUGCCCAAGUGUCAUAAACACCGCCCAGAAAACAAGCUUUUAUCACUAGAAGGAAGGCACCUAAACCAAGCAAAAUAAGGUGAUAUCCAAUGAUAUUAGUCAUCUGGUUUUUGUCUUUCCA
rnacentral:antisense_RNA from 1 species